GUUUGGGGUAUACGCUUUCAUGUACAUGCACACUUCAUCAGUAUCUGAAGAAGUGUGCAUGCACACGAAAGCUUAUACCCAGAAC